rnacentral:tRNA from 1 species
GGGGUUUUAGCUUAAUAUGGUAGAGCAGAGGCUUNGCAAGUCUAAGGUUGCGGGUUCGAGGCCUGUAAACUCCA